rnacentral:rRNA from 1 species
GUCCACGCCCUAAACGAUGUCAACUGGUUGUUGGGUGACUUGAUCACUUAGUAACGUAGCUAACGCGCGAAGUUGACCGCCUGGGGAGUACGGUAGCAAGAUUAAAACUCAAAGGAAUUGACGGGGGCCCGCACAAGCGGUGGAUGAUGUGGAUUAAUUCGAUGCAACGCGAAAACCUUACCUACCCUUGACAUGCCAGGAAUCCUGCAGAGAUGUAGGGGUGCCCGAAAGGGAACCUGGACACAGGUGCUGCAUGGCUGUCGU